CGGACAGUGGCUGAGGGGUGCUGGUGGGUAUUGCCUUCGUGAUGACGCUGCGGCCAGCGCAACAUCAGAGACCCUGCUUCACCAAGACUUCAAAGGGAAAUCAGAUGCUGCACCUCCUGCUACCAAGUUUAACACAUGCCAGAGAAGUAACUCCAGCCUGUUGUUUACAGCCAGGAAGAGGAGGGCAUGAAGGGUGGAAGAAGUGUUUGCUGAGGAACCCAGCUGACUGUGAAGCAUGCUAUGGGGUGUAAGGGAGCAGUGGGUGAGGCUGGUCUUCAUCUGAGGUCAGCUGCUAGCACUAGGCUUGAAUAUUAACACAAAAAGGCCAACACAAAAAUUACCUGUGGAAUAUUUUGCAUAUGGAAAUGAACUUCACAGAGUUUAUCUGAAUGAAACCUAACAAAAUCUUGCAUGUACGUAAUUGCAACAUUAAAAGUUUCCAUUGUUGGCCCUCACCAGCAGCCAGAGAUAAUUGCAGUUUCCCUGUUUAGUCAUUGUAAAAAUGCCAUCUAUCAGUACUCUCCUUUACCCACUGCUUUGCAUGUGAGAAAAAAUUCAGACCAAAUUCUCCUUGACUGAUGUGUUUCUACACCGUGCUCUAUUGCAAUGAACCAAGCGGUCUUCCCGGAGGUGGAGCCUGUGCUAGGUGACAGACCACUAAAGUUGCCCCAGAUUAUGCUCUGUGUACAGGAGUAGGGGGAAAGCUGUGUUACAGACGGGAGAUCAGGUCUGCUUCAGGGCAGGAACUUGUGACCGGGAGCGAGGAUCACCCUCAGCAGAGGUGCAGGGGUCUGGUGUGGUGCCGUGUGUCACGGGCGAGGCAGGGUAAAUAACAGCCUCUGGUAGAUCUGGAUAUGGGGUUUUUUAAAAAACAAAGAGAUGAGAGCUUUUAUCUUACUUGGUUAUCCGCACUUCCAGGAUCUUUCCUCCAGCCGGGAUCUUCACCUUCUUUUCUCCCAGCCUCCUCCUCCUUGCUCGGAUCAUGUCUUCUUCCCAGCAACUCUCUUCAUCAGCCCCAGCUCUUCUUUCUGGACCCCUGGAGUUCCCAAUCUGAAUUGUCUAUGUGCAGGAGCACAGUGUGACAUCAGCCUCCUAAUUACUUGUCCUGUCUCAUGUCUCCUCAUUAACUGGAGGAGUUGGGAUGUGCCACUUUCCUUUAGUCCAGGUGUUACCAAAAGUUAUAACCUGCUUGUACUAGUUGCAGCUAGCAACUUCCAGGUUUCUGCUUGAGAGUUCGAAAGUUCAAUUUUGGUCACUGGCUCCUCCACACAUACACCCAAUUAUCUGCUGCUUGCUAGGAUUUUCAAUUUAAGCUGUCUUCUUCCCGAAACACCAUGCUGUCAGCUCUUCACUGCUCACCACCACGCAGAGCCUUGCUGACACUCAGCUCCUGCACCAGCUGCUCCUCAAGGUGCUUGGUUUUGCUGUGCAUGUGGAAAGACUCCGCGGACCUCUGCCAGCACCACCUAGCAGCACAAAAUUGUGCUCCAGCACCUUCUAGACCCCUCUCCGGGCUCCCCUGUCUCACUGCAGGGUGCCCUUCUGUCAAAUGCUGCCUGCUCUGCUCCUCACCAACCCUGUGGAAAUCCUGCUGAGGCAGGAUGACAGCUAACGUAAGAGCGGUGUAGCACAGCAAGUGCCACAGGAGCACGGUGCCGCAUAGUUCAUAUGGGCAUAAACUUUCUGUCCUGAGACAGCACGUGAAACAAGGUGGUGCAUUUCCUCUCCUUGUGCCACCAUCACUUGUCAUAACAUUAUACCUUGGAGAUAGCUGUGGAUGAGCAGCAAACAUAGGAAUAAUUGUCAA